UGCCAGACUCCUACGGGAGGCAGCAGUGGGGAAUAUUGCACAAUGGGGGAAACCCUGAUGCAGCAACGCCGCGUGAGUGAAGAAGUCAUUCGUGAUGUAAAGCUCUAUCAGCAGGGAAGAAAAUGACGGUACCUGAGUAAGAAGCCCCGGCUAACUACGUGCCAGCAGCCGCGGUAAUACGUAGGGGGCAAGCGUUAUCCGGAUUUACUGGGUGUAAAGGGAGCGUAGACGGCCAGGCAAGUCUGGAGUGAAAGCCCGGGGCUCAACCCCGGGACUGCUUUGGAAACUGCCAGGCUGGAGUGCUGGAGAGGCAAGCGGAAUUCCUAGUGUAGCGGUGAAAUGCGUAGAUAUUAGGAAGAACACCAGUGGCGAAGGCGGCUUGCUGGACAGUAACUGACGUUGAGGCUCGAAAGCGUGGGGAGCAAACAGGAUUAGAUACCCGGGUA
rnacentral:rRNA from 1 species